rnacentral:rRNA from 1 species
UACAGAGGUCUCAAGCGUUGUUCGGAUUCAUUGGGCGUAAAGGGUGCGUAGGUGGUGAUGCAAGUCUGGUGUGAAAUCUCGGAGCUCAACUCCGAAAUUGCACCGGAUACUGCGUGACUCGAGGACUGUAGAGGAGAUCGGAAUUCACGGUGUAGCAGUGAAAUGCGUAGAUAUCGUGAGGAAGACCAGUUGCGAAGGCGGAUCUCUGGACAGUUCCUGACGCUGAGGCACGAAGGUCAGGGGAGCAAACGGG